rnacentral:rRNA from 1 species
UGGGGAAUAUUGGACAAUGGGCGCAAGCCUGAUCCAGCCAUGCCGCGUGAGUGAUGAAGGCCCUAGGGUUGUAAAGCUCUUUUACCCGGGAAGAUAAUGACGGUACCGGGAGAAUAAGCCCCGGCUAACUUCGUGCCAGCAGCCGCGGUAAUACGAAGGGGGCUAGCGUUGUUCGGAAUCACUGGGCGUAAAGCGCACGUAGGCGGAUCUUUAAGUCAGGGGUGAAAUCCCGGGGCUCAACCUCGGAACUGCCUUUGAUACUGGAGAUCUCGAGUCCGGGAGAGGUGAGUGGAACUGCGAGUGUAGAGGUGAAAUUCGUAGAUAUUCGCAAGAACACCAGUGGCGAAGGCGGCUCACUGGCCCGGUACUGACGCUGAGGUGCGAAAGCGUGGGGAGCAAACA